GGUUGUCGUCAGCUCGUGUCGUGAGAUGUGGUUAGUCCCGCACGAGCGCAACCCUAUUGUUAGUUGCCAUCAUUCAGUUGGGCACUCUAGCGAGACUGCCGGUAAUAAACCGGAGGAAGGUGGGGAUGACGUCAAAUCAUCAUGCCCCUUAUGACCUGGGCUACACACGUGCUACAAUGGUUGGUACAACGAGUUGCGAGUCGGUGACGGCGAGCUAAUCUCUUAAAGCCAAUCUCAGUUCGGAUUGUAGGCUGCAACUCGCCUACAUGAAGUCGGAAUCGCUAGUAAUCGCGGAUCAGCACGCCGCGGUGAAUACGUUCCCGGGCCUU
rnacentral:rRNA from 1 species